rnacentral:rRNA from 1 species
UGAGGAAUUUUCCGCAAUGGGCGAAAGCCUGACGGAGCAAUACCGCGUGGAGGAUGACAGCCCGUGGGUCGUAAACUCCUUUUCUCAGAAAAGAAAAAAUGACGGUAUCUGAGGAAUAAGCAUCGGCUAACUCCGUGCCAGCAGCCGCGGUAAUACGGAGGAUGCAAGCGUUAUCCGGAAUGAUUGGGCGUAAAGCGUUUUAAGGUGGUUUGGUAAGUCUACUGUUAAAUAUCAGGGCUUAACCCUGAACAGGCAGUGGAAACUAGCAAGCUUGAGUACGGUAGGGGCAGAGGGAAUUCCCGGUGUAGCGGUGAAAUGCGUAGAUAUCGGGAAGAACACCGAAGGCGAAGGCACUCUGCUGGGCCGAAACUGACACUGAUAGACGAAAGCUAGGGGAGCAAAUGG